rnacentral:lncRNA from 1 species
UGUGACCGCCACGAUUGGAAUUUCAUCAUCAAUCAUCAAUUUUUAACUAUGUGUUAUCUUCCCCAUUUUUUCUCUUGUUCUUUGUUUUUACCGACUGCAGCUUGUUGCCGGGGUCAAGUUUUAGUCUGUGUCAGGUGCUACCAUUGGCCACUGGCCUCGGUUCCACACCAUGGCCAAAUGACAAGGAGAGAGAAAAGGGGCUUGAGAUAUCCUAUUUUAAAGAAGAUGAAGAAGAGAGUGAGAGGGCUACCUCUCUUCUCCUUUCUUCUUUUUUUAUUUAAAUUUCUCUCUCUCUCUCUCUCUCUCUAACUACGUUAAGGAAUUUAUGGGG